GGGGCUCUGAGCUUCCCUUGAGAGCUGCAUUGCUCUUGGAACGGCUUCUUUUUCACAGAUUGGCUUCUUUUUCACUGUUCUGAUGCUCAAGUUCUGCUCUCUUCCACCUCUCAGUUUCGCCUGCUGGCUCUGAAGUCCGCGGAUUCAUCUUCCUGCAGCCAGAUGUGGGGAAAGGUCUGCAGAAAGCAGGACUGGGAAAUAUCCCAUGAUCCCUGCGCAAAGGCGUGGAUACUGUCUGCUGGGUGAAGCCGAAAUGCACGACAAAGGGUUGGGCUGCUUCCUGUCUCCCACCCCCAGGUCUGCUACUCCACACAGCACCAGCCACUGAAGGGGAUGCUUGUCUCUAGACUGUCUUUCUGCAGCAAAAGGAUCUCCCCCAGAGUCAUGCCGAGAGGUCUUUUCUUCCUAGACAGCCUGAAAUACACAGCAGACCUUUUGAAAAACAAGAAUGGUGCUUGCAUCUAAAACACAGGAGCAGAGUCUGCACGUGAAUCGCUUUUUCGGCAACAGCCUUCGAAAGGCAGGAGAUAUGGGGCUCUGUGGGGAGGGAGGGAAGCAGAAGGCUCUCCACCAAGUAUCCAAGGCCUGGCUACCCAGCCGAGCUCAAGUUUCGCAACACGCCUGCCAAACACAAGAUGAAUACGACAGACAUCUCUUUAUUUACAACCAAGGUUUAAACAUUCAAGCAGGGUUACAAAACAACACCUAAGUCAAUAACAGCCCAUCAACACAUAUGAAUGCUUUGGACCAAACCCUAAACUAAGGACUCCGACCAGUUGUUUGUUCAAUCAAUCAGUCAAUUUGUUGAUUACAGUCUCUGAGCAGCCAAGCAAGUGACAAAUACACCAUAAAACAUCCAUAGCCUAUAACACCCAUUAAAGAGACAGUUAACAACCA